UACCCUACGUCUGAAGAAAGUA
rnacentral:miRNA from 1 species